rnacentral:rRNA from 1 species
AUUGAACGCUGGCGGCAGGCCUAACACAUGCAAGUCGAACGAGUGGCGGACGGGUGAGUAAUGUCUGGGAAACUGCCCGAUGGAGGGGGAUAACUACUGGAAACGGUAGCUAAUACCGCAUACCAUCGGAUGUGCCCCGAUGGGAUUAGCUUGUAGGUGAGGUAACGGCUCACCUAGGGGACGAUCCCGAGCUGGUCUGAGAGGAUGACCAGCAACAGGGGAACUGAGCCACGGUGCAGACGCGUACGGGAGGAAGCAGUGGGGAAUAUGGCACAAUGGGGGCAAGCCUGAUGCAGCCAUGCCGCGUGUAUGAAGAAGGGCUUCGGGUUGUAAAGUACUUUCAGCGGGGAGGCGUUACCCGCAGAAGAAGCACCUGCUAACUCCGUGCCAGCAGCCGCGGUAAUAC